AACGAACGCUGGCGGCGUGUUUAAGACAUGCAAGUCGCACGGUGUCAUUUUGGUAGCAAUACUUGGAUGGCACAGUGGCGCACGGGUGAGUAACACGUGAAUGACAUGCCCUUCAGAGGGGGAUAGCCCAGGGAAACUUGGAUUAAUACCCCAUGGUCUCGCGAGAGUAAAGGCGGCCGCAAGGCUGUCGCUGGAGGAUUGGUUCGCGUUCUAUCAGCUUGUUGGCGGGGUAACGGCCCACCAAGGCUACGACGGAUACCUGGUCUGAGAGGACGGUCAGGCAGACUGGAAGUGGGACACGGUCCAGACACCUACGGGUGGCAGCAGUCGAGAAUAAUUCACAAUGGGGGCAAUCCUGAUGGUGCAACGCCGCGUGGAGGAUGAAGGUCUUCGGAUUGUAAACUCCUGUCAUCCGGGAGUAAGACCUGGCCGUUAAUAGCGGACAGGGUUGAUAGUACCGGAAGAGGAAGGGACGGCUAACUUCGUGCCAGCCGCCGCAGUAA
rnacentral:rRNA from 1 species